AUGAAAACAUACAUGUAAAUUACAAAGAGUGAUGACAAAAUGAACCGGUGGAGACCUUUGUGGUCACCUGCAAGUCCCUCCUGAGUCUGCUCUUCCUCCUCUGCUCUUGGAGAGGCAAUCACACAAUCCUGUUCUCCUGCUUUUUUCUUUUAAGCAGAGUUUUUUAAAAAAGUAAUGCACACGCUCUUUGACCCGGUGAUCCCACGCCUGGGGCUCCGUCUCCUAGAAAUUAAAACCACAGUGUGUAUGCAAGGACGUUUGUCGCUAGGAUGUUGACUGCAGAAUGGUUUGUAGCAGCCAAAGGGGGCCAAUGAGUGGCUGCUCGUUAAUGACUGAAUAAAUUGCAGGACGUCCACACCACGGAAUCGUCCGCAGCCAUUAAAAAGCGAUGAAUCAGAGCCGUUGCAGGUGCCUGGGAGGGAUUUCUGCACAACGAGGAGACGGGAGCCAGGAAGGAACAAAGUCGCAUGAGUCGUGCUGCGAUUCGGGGGAGAUCAGCAAGGCUGCUUCCGCCACCCACAAGCAGAUUUCUCUCCCUGGCUGGAUGUGGUCACUCAGGAGCCUCAGUGUCCUCCUCUGUAGAAUGGGGAGAAGAGAUACAGCCACCUCCUCAGCUUUCUGACAGAACUGAAUGUGUCAAGGCGCAGAUGUGGCUUCGCCCAGGACCUGGCACGUAGGUAACAUAGAAACCCUCGCUGACCACCGUCAUGGAGAGAUGGUGCUGCUUAGUGGUUAGGGUGAUGCAUCCUGGAGCCAAGAGGCGUGGGUUCGAAUCCCAGCUUGGCUACUUCUGAGCUGUGUGACAUCGGGCAGUUCUUUACCUUCUCUGUGGCCGACUUUCCUAAGCUGCUAUGGGUAAAGCAUGGAAAGCGGCUGGUGCAUAAUUUUCCCUUGGGUUUUCGCUCUUGUUGUGGGGCUAGAAUAUG
rnacentral:lncRNA from 1 species